AUUGAGCGCUGGCGGCAGGCCUAACACAUGCAAGUCGAACGGUAACAGGAAGAAGCUUGCUUCUUUGCUGACGAGUGGCGGACGGGUGAGUAAUGUCUGGGAAACUGCCUGAUGGAGGGGGAUAACUACUGGAAACGGUAGCUAAUACCGCAUAACGUCGCAAGACCAAAGAGGGGGACCUUCGGGCCUUUUGCCAUCGGAUGUGCCCAGAUGGGAUUAGCUAGUAGGUGGGGUAACGGCUCACCUAGGCGACGAUCCCUAGCUGGUCUGAGAGGAUGACCAGCCACACUGGAACUGAGACACGGUCCAGACUCCUACGGGAGGCAGCAGUGGGGAAUAUUGCACAAUGGGCGCAAGCCUGAUGCAGCCAUGCCGCGUGUAUGAAGAAGGCCUUCGGGUUGUAAAGUACUUUCAGCGGGGAGGAAGGGAGUAAAGUUAAUACCUUUGCUCAUUGACGUUACCCGCAGAAGAAGCACCGGCUAACUCCGUG
rnacentral:rRNA from 1 species